ensembl:lncRNA
CUGCCCUUGCUGCAGCCAUGCCGGCUCUCCUGUAUCACCUCCCUGCCUUCCAUGUGCCCUAGCACAGCUUCCAGGAGGAUCUGCUCCAUCAUCUUCCCAGCACAGAGGUGAGGCCGACAGGUGAAAGCACGGAGCUCAAGGGAGGGCUGACAUGACUGGUUAGUAAGUUUGCAACUUGGCCGCAAAUGAGAAGUGAGAUACUAUCUUUAAAGGGCUUCAUUACACUUGAAUGUGAACUUCCUCUACGGUAGAAGGCCUCUCCAAAGACAGAGCAGGCAACGCAAACACAAGAGAAACGAGCACAUGAUCGUCCUGGAAGGAAAUUACUAUACAAGGUGAGCAGUGGACUUUGAACACUUGGCUUUACUGUGUUUCAGUGGCUGUAACAAACAAAAGCACCCUCACAUCCUGCCGUCAUCUCCUGUGCAACGCAGGGCUGCACUCAGGGCAGCAGGACACUCCUCGCCACCCACCCCUGAUCCAGAUGGGGACCCUGUGCUCAACUCAAGCCAAAAGGGAAAUGCACGUAUCUAUUCUUCAGUUUUAACUGAGGCAGUCUCUGCCCAGAAGCACCGUCAGAAACACACACAACCAACCAACUUGGAAUUGGACUCGGUGAUCCUCAUGGGUCCCUUCCAACUUGGGAUAUUCUUUGAUUCUAUGAUUCCAGGUGUGCGGAAGAACGGCCUUUGUGCAACCCAACCAUUCCGGGUACAUUCUUUGCAUCUUCAAGAAUAUUCCUCCUCAUACCAAGAAAUGCCCUUCUUAACAAAUGAACGGUUUCGGUUUUAGCUACAAGAUUAAAAAAUGAAUCUAAUUGAAAAGGGUUAAACGACUGUUUUUCUUAACGACUUUUUAAAGAGAUGAAUUUGGAAGAAGUUAGAAAAACGGCCCAUCUAAAACAGGACGUGAAACAACUUAAUUAUUAACCCCAUGGUAGCAACAAGGGCCAGUAAGAGCUGCACGAUGUCCCUCCGUACGUCUCCACAGGGUGUCAGUGUUUUUUCAGAUUUGGGUCAUUUCGUGCUGGGAUGAAUGGCAAGCAGUGUGUCUUUGGCAGAAUCAACUUACUUGUCACUGUUUGUCCUCCCAUCCCUAUAG